rnacentral:rRNA from 1 species
GAGUAAUACGAGCCAGCAGCCGCUGUAUAACGUAUGUUCCAAGUGUUAUCCGGAUCUAUUUGGCGUAAAGCAAGCGCAGACGGUUAUUUAAGUCUGAAGUGAAAGCCCUCAGCUCAACUGAGGAAUUGCUUUGGAAACUGGAUGACUUGAGUGCAGUAGAGGAAAGUGGAACUCCAUGUGUAGCGGUGAAAUGCGUAGAUAUAUGGAAGAACACCAGUGGCGAAGGCGGCUUUCUGGACUGUAACUGACGUUGAGGCUCGAAAGUGUGGGUAGCAAACAGGAUUAGAUACUCCUGUAGUC